rnacentral:lncRNA from 1 species
UUUUUUUUUUUUUUUUCCCUUCCCUUUUUAGGGCCAUAGCCACCGCAUACGGAAGGUCCCAGGCUAGGGGUCAAAUGAGAGCUGCAGCUCCCAGCCAAUACCACACCCACGGCAACAUCAGAUCCGAGCCUCCUCUACAACCUACACCACAGCUCAUGGCAACGCCGAUCCUUAACCCCCUGAGCAAGGCCAGGGAUCGAACCCACAUCCUCACGGAUGCUAGUUGAGUUCGUUUCUGCUUGGCCGCCACGGAACUCCUCUUUCUUUCUUUUUGGUGGUAAAAUACAUACAACAUAAAAACACUCUUCUGUUUUCUGUCUCUAUGGAGGUGACUAUUCUAGGAACAUCAUAUAAGAGGAAUCACACAUAAAAUAGAUAACCAACAAGGACGUAAUAUAUAGCACAGGGGACGAUACUUAUUUUGCAAUAACCUACAGGGGGACAGAGUCUAAAAAAUAUAUAAUUAACUGAAUUGCUGUGCUGUAGCCUGAAACUAACAUGAUACUGUAAAUCAACUAUACUUCAAUUUUUAAAUUUUUCAUUUAAAAAAGGAAUCACACAAUAUUUGCCCUUUUGCACCUAGAUGACUUCAUGUAGCAUAAUGACUUUAAGGUUCAUCCAUGUUAUGGUAGGUGUCUGAAUUCCCUUCACUUUUAAGGCCAAAUAAUAUUCCAUCACAUGUAUACACAAAUUUGCUCACCCAUUCACCUUUAAAUAAACAUUUGGGGAGUUCCUGUCGUGGUUCAACAGAAACAGAUCCGACUAGCAUCCACGAGGACCCAGGUUCGAUCCCUGGCCUCGCUUAGCGGGUUAAGGAUAUGGCAUUGCUGUGAGCUGUGGUGUAGGUUGCAGACACGGCUCAGAUCCCAUGUUGCCAUGGCUGCAGUGUAGGCCGGCAGCUGCAGCUCUGAUUCGACCCCUAGCCUGGGAACUUCCAUAUGCCUCAGGUGCAGCCCUAUUUAAAAACAAACAAACAAAAAAGUAAGUAAAUAAAAAUAAACAUCUGGGUUGUUUCCGCCUUCUGGCUACUGUGAACAGUGUUGCGUGAGCAUUGGUUUAUUAGUUUAUAAGCAAGUCUUUGCUUUCUAUCUUUUGGGUAUGUAACCAGAUGUGGGAUCAUACAAUAAUUCUAUGUUUAAUUUUUGGAGAAAGCGCCUCACUGUUUUUCAUCGUGUCUGCACCAUCUUACAAUCCCACCAGCAUGGACCACAACUGCUUUCAUUUUUUUAAAUUUAUUUAUUUAUUUUGCCUUUUGUCCUCUUAGGGCCACACCCUCAGCACAUGGAGUGGCCCAAGAAAUAGCAAAAAAAAGACAAAAAUUAAUAAAUAAAUAAACUGUGGCACAAAUAAACCUAUCUACGAAACAGAAACAACUCACAGACAUAGAGAACCUCUUGUGGUUGCCAAGAGGGACGGGGAGGGAGUGGGAGGGAGUAGGAGUUUGGGGUUAGUAGAUGCAAAUUAUUACAAUUAGAAUGGAUAAGCAAUGAGGUCCUGCUGGAUAGUACAGGGAACUAUAUCCAACCCCUUGGGGUAGAACACGAUGGAAGAUAAUAUGAGAAAAAAGAAUGUACAUGUGUGUGUGACUGGGUCACUUUGCCAUACAGCAGAAACUGACACAAUAUUGUCAAUCAACUACAAUAAAAAAUUUAAAAAACAAAACAAAAACAAACAGAAAAACCCCAUGUCUCCUAUCCCUGGGAUGGCAGGGCCACCUGCUAACUCAUCUGAAGCAGUCUGAUGCCCAGGUUUGACAGACGGUGGCAUCGGGAGACUUCUAUGGACAAAUACAGUCGCCCUCCACAAAACCGAUCUCCAAGAAUUAAGAACAGCUCUGAAAGGCCCCUAGUGACGUGUCAUCCCACUCUCCCGAGCACGCCUACAUUUCAACAGGAACAACACUCAGGGCGCAGCAACUUCUACACAAUUGUUAGAACUGCUAUGAACAUCAGUACUUCGUUCAUUGGCCCAAAGUGAUCUUCCUCCAACCUUGUACUUGUAGUCACAGACUCACUGUGACCUUGGGUCUUUAACCUCUCUGAGCCCAUUCAUGUGCACAAGGAGAGCUUUGACGUAAGCAAUCUCCAAGGACCCUCUUAACUCUGAUGAUCGGGAUCCCACAUCCCACGUUCAGCUUCUGAUACACGGCUCUGAUGUUCAACCCAACCCAAUCUCACCUUUUCAAAAGAUCCCUGUACUUACGCGAGGCCCUUCCAGGGUGGACCAUGAACCUACAAAACAUCUCCGUGUGAAUCAGGAAAAAUAACCUGCUUCCUCCAAAUGGACACAGCCCCACCUUGGAGCAACAUGUGGCUUUCAGCCCACAGUCAAUCAGAAGCCUUGUUCAGUGCACCACCUGAACAACCAUACAUGGCAGCCUCGUACCCUUCUAUGGAACAUUACCAGGGCCUCCCUAGCCCUCGAUUCUGCCCAGCAAUAACAAGAAAAAUGGCAAUUAAAAUUUGUUGAUUGUAUGAUACCUAUCAGGCACUAUGGUAACUUCUUUUUGCUUUAAGGGUUGGGUAGACAUCAAAAACAUGAACCGCAUAUAUGUUCGCUAUGAGAACAAACAACUGACACCCAUAUACCUACCAGGCAGUGUAAGAAACAAAAAAAUAUCAGCUUUGCCUUUUCCUAAUCCCAUCCUCUUUCCUCCUCACUCAGAGGUAACUCCUGAAUUUUGGAUACAACACUCUCCUGCUUUUCCUUAUAAUUUUGCCGCUAUCAGUUUUGCAUAGUUUUUUUGACUCAUGUAAGAGGGAUCAGGGUAAGGCCUCUUCCAUGCUUGCCAGUCUCUCUCCUGUGAAGUCUGUGAGUCACAGGUGUUGCUGCAGGCAGCUGCCACCAUAAAGUCACUGCCACAUGACAUCCAACACUCAUGACAACGACAACGUGGAUACUAAUAGCUCCAUUUUGCAGAUGAGGAAACUGAGGCUUCGGGAGGUUUAAAUGACUUGCCGGAGGCACCGUGUGGGCUAGUGGCAGUGCUGAGAUGCAGAUUCACUGAUGCAAACUCAUCACACAGCCAGUGAUGACCAGGCAGCAUGGCCGAGGGGAGAGGGGUGACGGAGGCAGACACAGCCGGGCCUCCAAGGCACGUACAGGAAGGCCUGACUCCAUCCACAGGUCGGUCUGAAGGCAGAACCCUGGUGUGUGGCUCCUCGGUCAUGUUAAUGGCAGCUGGAAUCAGAACUGUGAGGAUUCUGUUGCAGAAAUGUUUUCAGGGGACAGCACAGACCACUUCUAAAUUCUAGACGUGAUCCUGGUCUUUCCGUUCUUAUUCACACACACACACACACACACACACACACACACACACACACACACUCAGAAAAACAAACACCCACAUACGGAGGAGAGCUCUAAGUUUCCAAGAAAAGGCAGACAGUAAGUCGAUGAGGCUCCAACUCCACACUUGAGUCAUUAACCGUGUUACCUGGCAAACGCUUAACUUUAAACAUUCCUGCAGGCUUCAGAAAAGCCAACUUCAGCCCAGGACUGGAACCAGCCUGGAGAAAAAUGCCCAAAGGAGUCAUUCUGGUUUGACAGGUACAACACGCUGUCCAGAUAUUAAAACACACACAAAUAAAAACCCACAAAGACUUUCUCUUCUUCCCUUUGCCCUCAAUUUUGCACUGAUGCUUUUCAGGGGUAAACAGUUGCCAGGAUCCAUGACUGAGAGCCUCGGAAACCCCUUCUGAAGCCAAGCCUGCCAAGUUGUGGGUCCCUGGAAUGGCAGCCCCCAUCAGCUACCUCCUGGGGUGGCGGUGGGUACACAGAAGUACCAUAUUCAAGAAGGAAGCAAGAAAGCUGACCCCAGAGAGGAGACAGGGAUGGCCAGGCAUCCUGGCUGACUUAUCAAGUCAGCCAAGGUCCAAGGUAAAGUCAAAGGCAGACUCGGUCAAGAGAAACAGCCUCUGGCCGAUCAAAACCAGAAAAAGCAAGAAAUUAAUUUAUUCAUCUGGACAGCAAGCAUUUCUCUCUGAGCAUUUUCUCUCCACAUUGACUGAUCGAAUCUUGGUGAACGAAAGCACAACUCUCUUACUGCGUAAAGAAAGACACACACAAAAGCCCCUCAACUGAAAAAUCGAGUCAGGCAGUUUGCGAUUUCACCUUUGAGUGAACAGGAUGCAGCCACAAAGGGCUGGACAGGGAGCUGGUGGCGCAGCUCCCGCUGGCGUCAUCGUUAAUAAGUAAGCGGCAGCGGCCUGUGCAGAGCCAGCCUGCGGUGCCAAGGAAGCACGGGGUGGGGUCUGGGACCCGAGCAGGAGCCAGGUGACACUGGGGGGCUGCACUCCAUGUGGAACCUGGCAUCCUUAACCAGCCCUGUCUUGGCCACCCACUUCAUAUCUCCCACUAGAUGCAGUCCCUGACUCUGGCGGCCUUGGAGGGUCCUGGAGCUGAAAGCCACCCCCACGUUGUCACUUGGGAGACCAGAACUUCAGCCCUCUUACGAGGCGCUAGGAGUGUGGCCGCCUGGGUCUGCGGGGCUUUGCUGCUCUCAGAAGCAACUCCCCUUUGAGGGGCCAUGAGGACCUUUGUGUCCUCAAGGAGAAAUAGCCAGGACUGUUUUAAUAGCACAGAAAGGCCUGGAUCAUUAGGGAGAAUGCCAGCGCUGAGCACGCUAGGAGGGAACGAAUCAGCCUGGAGCACUGGGGCAGGGUCCCCAGACCGAGGGGCAGCUGGCCGGGGAGGUGAGCUGCUGGCAUCUCAGUGCUCCAAAAUAACCACAACCGAUUUGCACACGAAUGAGCAAACACAAAACCCCAAAGCGAGGACAUUCAAAACCGAAAGCAGCUGCUAAUCACCUGUUUAAUUUUUUUUUCUUAAAUUAGCUGCGACGAAGAAUUUUCAAACCCUCCAGUACAAUACACAGCUUAACAUUUUCAUACACCUGUAAAACCACUAAGUUAAAUCCCAUUACAAAAGACUUCAACUUAUAAAAGAGCAGUUCAAAUACAGUUCUUAUCAAAUACAAACAAUGGAAAGUGAUUUAGGCAAGAGAACAUCAGUCACUGGAAAUUAACAUUUGAAAAAACUUUUUUUACAUAAAAACCAUCUGUGUAUUGAGACCAUGCACUCUGCUAAACCACAGGCCUAAUUAAGAAACUAGGAACCAAGGCGUUACAUAGCGAUGCAUGAAGUUUUGUGUUUCCUUUCUCUUUUUGUUUUGUUUUGCGGGUGUUUUUUUGGUUUUGCUUUGUUUUGAGUCUUGCUGAAAUUUUAUCAAUACAGAACGUGUUGUGCUCUCUCCUCUGCAAAUCUAAAGCAAUGUCUAAGUCAUACUGCUAAAGAUGCUUGCAAGCCGUCAGACAAAACACACUUGUCUUAAUCUGGGGUGAUUCUCCCACGCCAGCAUCCCCACCCAAGGCUAUCUGCUUCAAAGUCCAGCCAGGGCAGAAAAGUAUCAAGAAGAUAAAAAUGAAGAAGCAGGCCCACUGGCAAAGCAGUUACGCAGAGAGGGGAGAGCUGGUAUGUCUGGGUAACAGGGCCCAGAAUUCAAAUAUUACCUUGUUCUUUCCCCCCAGUCACGCUGUCUCUUGAGCAAAGGAUGAAAAAAAAGGCCAAUGAACAACUAACAUCCAAAUGGUAUUUUACGUCUUAAAAGCAUCAGGUGGAUAGCUGAGCUGAGGCACAGAGGAACUCGGUGACACAAAGAUAAGGAAACGAAGUCUCAGAAAGGUUACAUGGCCCAUCCAGGGUCACAGAGUGAGGUAGUAAGAGACAGACCAGAGCCUGGAACCCAGUGGGCCCUGGCUAUCCCCCUGCUGCUCAAAAUAGCGCUUCCAGAACGAGGGAGGGGUUCUGGCCCAGCCCUUGGAGCAGAGAGAACCAUGUGGUUACAACGGUACCCAAGAGUCCGCCUGAGACUGUACUUCUGGAAGAGUCUGUGUUUUGAGGGUAAUGAGUCAGGAGUCCCUUGGGUUUUGGGGUGCUCCCCAACAGAAAGGUCCCAGGAGAAGAAAAAUAAGGGAGAUCAAAGGGGACAGACGGUUGUGUCACAGACAUACGGGGUUGUGUCUGCUCAGCACCCCGACCUUUGGGGAACAGACUCUCGCUCACUCCAUGCACUUCCAACAGGACUGUCAAUCAGAGCCUAGUUCAAGGCCUGGGUCUCAGGCAGGCCCAUCAGUGAACCUCCCUGAGAGGGACAUGUGGAUGCUACAAGAAAGCCCUAACGUUCCCACUGGAGUCGCCAAGUCCAUGUGUGGCUCCAGGAUCCCACAGGCCACCCACCUCAUCCAACUCGAGGAAAACCUCCUCCAUCGACAAAAGGACUGAAUGAGAUCAACCCACAGAGGGAAGGAAAGGGGACAUAGGAGGGACAGACAGAGCCAUGAUGACAUCCUUUGCAGCCCCGGAACCAACCCGGACCAAGCCAGGAAAACUCCUGGACUUUGCAGUUUCGUGAGCCAACACAGUCCCUUUUCUCCUGGAAUUCGCUUGAAACCCAAAGGAUGCUGACGUCUGACACAUAAGACCAUGUUCAAUAUGCCCUGACCACAGACUCGGCAUUUUUCGAACCAUCUCUAUUUUCAACAUGCAGGGUUGGGUGGCCCCGGAAAACCACUUCCACUCUUGCCUUCUGAAAUCUACUCUCCGCCCAGGGCUGGAGUAAUUCGUUCUUCAACAGCAAAUCACAUGACCUCACUCUCUGGCUCAAACCCUCCCAAUGAUGGCCUAACAUAAGCUCCUUUUUAUGGACCUCAAGGUUGCUCUUACCUGGCCCCUGCCUCCCUCUUCAAACUCCCAUCCCCGCCCUGCCCAUCACACCCACUCACAAGCUUGUUCCCGCCUCCAGACACUCGCAUUUGCUGUUCGCCUUACUCAACAAGGGCAGUGACCUAAAUCCUUUCGUUCACUCCAGCAUCCCCAACACCCAGCCUCUCUGCCACUGUUCACUGAAGAAAUAAACCAAACCCAGGAUUACGGCCUCCACACAACACCUCAAAGGAGGCCAGGCUGGGAUCCUGGGCUAGUCCAUGUCCUCAGGCUUUUCACCCCAAAAUUUAGAUCAGCAGACUUAGCUACUGACCAGGGACUGGAAAACCAUAUCCUGUGGGCCAAAUUCCAGCCCAUUUGGGCUGUUUGUUUUCUUUUUAGGGCCGCACCCACAGCAUAUGGAAGUUCCUAGGCUAGGGGUCAAGUCGGAGCUGCAGCUGCUGGACACAGUAACUCAGGAUCCAAGCCACAUCUGCAACCUACACUGCAGCUUGUGGCAAUGUGGGAUCCUUAACCCACUGAGCGUUUUAAUUUUUUUUACUAUUUUUUUCCGUUUAUUUUAGUACAAUCUGUAAACUAAGAAUGGUUUUUAGGUGUUCUCACUGUGGCACAGCAGAUUAAGAAGCCAACUAGUAUCUGCAAGGACUCGGCUUCAACCCCUGGCCUCGUUCAGGGAGUUAAGGAUCCUGCAUUGCUGCAAGCUGUGUAGGUCUCCAAUGCUGCUGGGAUCUGGUGUAGCUAUGGCUGUGGCGUAGGCCAGCGGCUACAGCUAUGAUUUGACCCGUAGUCUGGGAACUUCCAUAUGCUGAGGGUACAGCCCUAAAAAGACUUUAAAAAAAAAAAAAAAAAAAAAAAAA